GACGAACGCUGGCGGCGUGCCUAAUACAUGCAAGUAGAACGCAGUUGCGAACGGGUGAGUAACGCGUAGGUAACUGCCUCAUAGCGGGGGAUAACUCUUGGAAACGAUAGCUAAUACCCCAUACUGUGAGAUGUACCUGCGUUGGAUUAGCUAGUUGGUGAGGUACCGGCUCACCAAGGCGACGAUACAUAGCCGACCUGAGAGGGUGAUCGGCCACACUGGGACUGAGACACGGCCCAGACUCCUACGGGAGGCAGCAGUAGGGAAUCUUGGGCAAUGGACGAAAGUCUGAUCGAGCAACGCCGCGUGAGUGAAGAAGGUUUUAGGAUCGUAAAACUCUGUCGUUAGAGAAGCGGUAUCUAACCAGAAAGCCACGGCUAACUACGUGCCAGCAGCCGCGGUAAUAC
rnacentral:rRNA from 1 species